GCCCGGUUAGCUCAGUCGGUAGAGCAUCAGACUUUUAAAACUGCAUUCAUCACAGACAUCUGAGGGUCAAGGGUUCAAGUCCCUUAUUGGGCG
rnacentral:tRNA from 1 species